UGUGUAGGCGGGAUAGCAAGUCAGAGGUGAAAUCCUACAGCUCAACUGUAGAACUGCCUUUGAUACUGUUAUUCUUGAGUAUCGGAGAGGUCGCUGGAAUUCGUGGUGUAGCGGUGAAAUGCGUAGAUAUCACGAGGAACACCAGAGGCGUAGGCGGGCGACUGGACGAUUACUGACGCUGAGGCACGAAAGCGUCGGGAGCAAACAGGAUUAGAUACCCUGGUAGUCC
rnacentral:rRNA from 1 species